GAUGAACGCUGGCGGCGUGCCUAAUACAUGCAAGUCGAGCGAACGGACGAGAAGCUUGUUUCUCUGAUGUUAGCGGCGGACGGGUGAGUAACACGUGGAUACCCUACCUAUAAGACUGGGAUAACUUCGGGAAACCGGAGCUAAUACCGGAUAAUAUUUUGAACCGCAUGGUUCAAAAGUGAAAGACGGUCUUGCUGUCACUUAUAGAUGGAUCCGCGCUGCAUUAGCUAGUUGGUAAGGUAACGGCUUACCAAGGCAACGAUGCAUAGCCGACGUGAGAGGGUGAUAGGCCACACUGGAGCGGAGACGCGGUCCAGACUCCUACGGGAGGCAGCAGUAGGGAAUGUUACGCAGUGGGCGGAAGCAUGACGGAGCAGCGCCGCGUGAGAGAUGAAGGUCUUCGGAGAGUGAAACUCUGUUAUGAGGGAAGAACAUAUGUGAAAGUAACUGUGCAGAUCGUGACGGUACCUGAACAGAAAGCAACGGCUAACUACGUG
rnacentral:rRNA from 1 species